GUUAUCGCAUAAUCAGCAAUCAUUCAGUGUCAUUUCUAAGACAGUGUGUUAUUAUGUCUGGGUUUCUUCGUGUUAUAACUUGUACUUCAGCCUCGUCUCCCUUGCAACUGAAGGUGUUACCAUUACUUUCAAAGACGUGAUGAUGAUAGGCAUAGCCAACGUAGUCCGUGGCGGCUGCGUAGGACUUGUGACCGGCGGCGCUUCUGCAGCAGCUGCGACGACAACAAGGUCACCCGGUCUCGUCGCUGCCAAACGUAGGUGGCUUCGCACAGCAACAAGUGGCAGGGUUCCUCUGACAGCUGUUCUCUCCGACGGCACAAUGAACGUAACACCACCAGAAUGUCUAAAGAAGCCUUUAACGGUACCAUCCAAAUUGCUGAUGGGCCCAGGGCCUUCCAACAGCCCAUUGCGUGUUCAUUAUUUGCUAUGAUGAAACCAUUAUUAGGGCAUCUUCACCCAGAGUUUUGUCAGGUAAAGUGAUGGUUACUUAUUGUCA